rnacentral:rRNA from 1 species
AUUGAACGCUGGCGGCAUGCCUUACACAUGCAAGUCGAACGGCAGCAUGGGUGCUUGCACCUGAUGGCGAGUGGCGAACGGGUGAGUAAUGCAUCGGAACGUACCCGGAAGUGGGGGAUAACGUAGCGAAAGUUACGCUAAUACCGCAUAUUCUGUGAGCAGGAAAGCGGGGGAUCGCAAGACCUCGCGCUUCCGGAGCGGCCGAUGUCGGAUUAGCUAGUUGGCGGGGUAAAGGCCCACCAAGGCAACGAUCCGUAGCGGGUCUGAGAGGAUGAUCCGCCACACUGGGACUGAGACACGGCCCAGACUCCUACGGGAGGCAGCAGUGGGGAAUUUUGGACAAUGGGGGCAACCCUGAUCCAGCCAUGCCGCGUGAGUGAAGAAGGCCUUCGGGUUGUAAAGCUCUUUCGGCUGGGAAGAAAUCGCAUCUCCUAAUACGGGGUGGUGGAGUGACGGUACCAGGCAUAAGAAGCACCGGGCCUAACUAACGUCGCC